rnacentral:tRNA from 1 species
GCUAGCUCAGUAGGUAGAGCAUGAGACUCUCAAUCUCAGGGUUGUGGGUUUGUGCCCCAUAGAGCA